AGGCCCUUAUCGAAGCUACAGCUGCU
rnacentral:piRNA from 1 species